GACGGAGGGUGCAAGCGUUAUCCGGAUUUACUGGGUUUAAAGGGUGCGUAGGCGGCUUUGUAAGUCAGUGGUGAAAUCUAGCAGCUCAACUGUUAAACUGCCAUUGAAACUGCAAGGCUUGAGUUUGAUCGAGGUGGACGGAAUUCUACAUGUAGCGGUGAAAUGCAUAGAUAUGUAGAGGAACGCCAAUAACGAAGGUAGUUCACUAGGUCAAUACUGACGCUGAGGUACGAAAGCGUGGGGAGCAAACAGG
rnacentral:rRNA from 1 species